rnacentral:rRNA from 1 species
AAUAGAUACCCGGGUAGUCCACGCCGUAAACGAUGAGUGCUAAGUGUUAGGGGGGUUCCACCCCUUAGUGCUGCAGCUAACGCAUUAAGCACUCCGCCUGGGGAGUACGGUCGCAAGACUGAAACUCAAAGGAAUUGACGGGGGCCCGCACAAGCGGUGGAGCAUGUGGUUUAAUUCGAAGCAACGCGAAGAACCUUACCAGGUCUUGACAUCCCGCUGACCGCCAUGGAGACAUGGCCUUCCCUUCGGGGACAGCGGUGACAGGUGGUGCAUGGUUGUCGUCAGCUCGUGUCGUGAGAUGUUGGGUUAAGUCCCGCAACGAGCGCAACCCUUGUCCUUAGUUGCCAUCAUUCAGUUGGGCACUCUAAGGAGACUGCCGUACAAAUACGGAGGAAGGUGGGGAUGACGUCAAAUCAUCAUGCCCCUUAUGACCUGGGCUACACACGUGCUACAAUGGGUGGUACAAAGGGCGGCGAACCCGCGAGGGGGAGCGAAUCCCAAAAAGCCACUCUCAGUUCGGAUUGCAGG